CGGAACGGGUGAGUAAUACAUCGGAACGUGUCCGCUCGUGGGGGACAACCAGCCGAAAGGUUGGCUAAUACCGCAUGAGUUCUACGGAAGAAAGAGGGGGACCCGCAAGGGCCUCUCGCGAGCGGAGCGGCCGAUGACUGAUUAGCCUGUUGGUGAGGUAACGGCUCACCAAAGCAACGAUCAGUAGCUGGUCUGAGAGGACGACCAGCCACACUGGGACUGAGACACGGCCCAGACUCCUACGGAAGGCAGCAG
rnacentral:rRNA from 1 species